UCAUUCCUAAUAAUGCCUUAUGGUAGAUGCUGCGCAUUAAUGCAUAUCAGCGCAUGUGACAGUAAAGUAAUGUCAAGCUUUUCCUCUUACCAAAUCUAGUGAGUGUACUCUUCACCCGUUGGGAGAUUUGUCAUAAAAUAAGACAAGAUUCGCAGUCCUCAAUAUGAACAGUAAAGAGACAUGAUUUUACACCUGGGGAAAUGCAAAGCUACCCUCACCACGAACAAGCAGAUUCUCUGACUUAAGAAAAGCGUACUGAUAAGUCUUCUCAAACAGGUAAGCUAAUGAUGCUAUGAUAGUCUCGCGAACGUGUUGUUUUUGAUUAUAUAUUGCGUAGUGACGAGGUUAAUACGAAGCUUA